GGGGCGUAGCUCAGAUGGUAGAGCGCUCGCUUAGCAUGCGAGGGUACGGGAUCGAUACCCCGCGCCUCCA
rnacentral:tRNA from 1 species